rnacentral:ncRNA from 1 species
AGAAAGUUUGAUUCUUGCUUGAACUUUUAUUUUAUGGUUAGUGUACAUGCAUAUUUUAGUGGGUGAGGGAUAAAAAAUAAAGAUAAUUUAUGAUGUAAUGGUGGUCUUAUUAUUCGCAGUACGGAGGAUUAAAUAUUGAAUUAGGAUUUGAUUUAGUAAAUUAUAAGAAGCUUGAUGAAAUUUUGUGCCAGCAAUCGCGGUUAGACUAAAAAGCUUAGUAAAAGUAUUUUAGUAAAGGUUAUUUUGUGUUUAAAGGUAAAUUGAAAUUUAUAACAAUAAAAGGUGAAAUUAGUUUAUCGAGAAUAAAUGGAAGUUGAAUUGAAAAGGAAAAGAGGCCGGUAAAUUAAGAUAUAAACCAGGAUUAGAUACCCUGUUAUACUUAAAAAGUAAAAAAUAAAACUCGAAUAUUAGUAGAUAUGGUCUUUAAAUUCAAAGAAUUUGGCGGUGUUUUAGUCUUGUUAGAGGAACCUGUUCUGUAAACGAUACAACACGAAGAAUCUUACUCACUCUUGUUUAACAGUUUGUAUACCGUCAUUAUUAGAUAACCCUUAUUGGGGUAGUUAUUGAAAUUUAAGAAGUUAAAGUAUAUUAGAUCAAGGUGCAGUUUAUGAGUGAGAAGAAAUGGGUUACAAUAAAAUUUAUUUAUCACGUAUCAGUAAUUGAAUAAUUUCUGUGAAGGGGGAUUUAAUUGUAACAUAUAUAGUUUAAUAAGUGGGUGUGAUAUGAGAACUAAAAUAUGUACAUAUCGCCCGUCGCUUCCGUUUAAGGUGGAAUAAGUCGUAACAUAGUAGGUGUACCGGAAGGUGUACCUAGAAUUAA